AGCGCGUUCUCCUGCGAUGACUCACGCAAACCUCUGUUCGGGAGAGUGAGCAGGAAAGAGAUCUACGGAGGGUUGAACACUUUUCCCCAUCAAAACAACACAAUUACCCUUGUUCCUAAAGUGACGGAGCAUUUCCCAGUAGUGUUGCCGGACCAGAGGGCACAUCCAGAAUGGGCAAAGUCUUAUCACUGAUUGGCGUUGUGGCUCUCGUCGCACUGGCUGUCGCUGCCUACCUCUGGUGGCGAAGGCGCAGGCAAGCACCAAGGGCUGUGGUGAUUACGCAGACAAUAUGACAUCGUUUUAUUAGAUAAUGUUUUUGAAUCAUUUUUUGCUUUAAUAUUUAAUGGGUGUUCUCCUAUAUGAAAUGUGAAUGUUUUUUAUAUUUGUUGUUAUUAUUAUCAUUAUUAUUCACUGUUAUUGAUAUUGUUAUUGUCAUCAUUAUUAUCACAAUUAUUCCUCUCAUUGUUAUUAUUAUUAUUGUUAUUAUUAUUAUUAUUAUCAUUAUUAUCAUUAUUAUUCAUUGUUAUUAUUAUUGUUAUUAUUAUUAUCAUUAUUAUUACUCUUAUUGGUAAUAUUAUUAUUAUUAAUAUUGUUAUUAUUAUGAUUUUAUUGUUAUUGUUAUUAUUAUGAUUUUAUUGUUAUUGUUAUUAUUAUUAUAAUUGUUAUUAAUAUUAUCAUUAUUAUUGCUAUUGAUAUAUUCAUAUAUUAUUAACACUAUUAUUGCUAUUGAUGUAUUUUCAUUAUUAUUACUACUAAUAUUGCUAUUACUAUUAUUACUAUCAUUAUUAUUAUCAUUACUAUUACUGUUAUUAUUAAUAUUAUUAUUAUUAUUAUUAUUAUUAUUAUUAUUAUUAUUAUUAUUAUUAAUUAUAUUAUGAUUAGCAUUAGCACUAGCAUCAUUAUCAUUAUUAUUUUUAUUUAUUAUUAUUAUUAUUAUUGAUAUGAUCAUGAUUACAAUAAUUAUGAUGGAAAUGAUCAUAAUUAUUUUAGAUAUUGAUAUAAUUUUCAUCAUCAAUAUGAGUAUCCUUCAGUAGCUUGCGAUUUAACUGUCAAGUUUGGCCUUGCGUUUUGUGCCGUAAUCAAUGCAUAACGUGCAAUGAAGUCCACAUUUGCAAUAACCUCAUAACCUCGUGGGAUCACUCUUAUUGAUCAGGAGAUAAUUUAUCAAAAAAUGAAAGAAAAGGUUAACGCUUUUGUAAUUCUAUUCCUAUAGAGAUUGUGUUAAAAUUUCCAUAAAGAUAUUUGUAUGUAUGUAUGCACACGCACACACACACACACACACACACACACACAC